rnacentral:lncRNA from 1 species
CAACUCUUAAACUGUGUAAUUACCAGACCAUCCAUUUUAAACUUCACUCUUAAAAGGAUUUAAUUUUAAAAAAGCUAAUAAUAUUUAAUCGAUGUACAAUUUAUAUACUGUAAACUCUACCUAUCUUUAGUACUUAGUUCAUGAAACAAAUGUAUGCACUUUUAUUAAAAAAACCUCAAAUGAUUUCCAUCAUCCUGAAAAGUUUCCUGGGGCCUCUCUCCAAUCAAUCUUUUUCUCCUUUUACUAUGCAGAGGCAACCACUUUCCGCUACUCUGAUUACCAGCUCCAUCAAUGUUUUGCUGGCUCAUGAACUUUACAUACCUGAGAUCGUGGAGUAUGUCCAUUUUUGUCAGGCUUCUUUGUCUCAUCAUGGUGAUCUGAAAUGGAUUUAUGUGGCUAGGCAUAUCACUGCACUGUUCUUUUUUUAUUGAUAAAUAGUAACUCAUUUUACAAAUAUCUUAUAGUUUGUAAAUCCAGUCUAUUGAUUGGGAGACAUUUGAGUUGUUUCCAGUUUUGAACUAUUAUGAAUAAAGUUGUUAUGGAAGUUCACUUACAAGUCUUUUUGUGGACAUACACCUUUAUUUUUCUUGGGUAUGUACCUAAGAUAGGAAUAGCUGAGCAUUAGGACAGGUGUAUUUGCUUUAGAAAUGACCGUAGAGCUUGUACAAAAUAGUUAUUUUACAUUCUAACCAAUAGACUAUGAAAAUUCUAGUUGCUCUACCACCUCAGCAAUUUUAAACUUUAUUUAAAUGCUGUGAAGUUUUUUUUUAUUGUCAUGAUGACUAAUGAUAUGAGACAUCUUUUCAUAUGUUUGAUGGUCAUUCAGACACAUCGCUUUGUGAGUUGCUUGUUUAAGUCAAUUUAUCAAAUUGAUAAAUUUAGCUAUUAAAAUUAUGCUAAUGAAAGAUACCAUGAAGCAAAUGAUAGGGCAAAACACAAAUGGAAGAAAGCGUUAAGAAUACACAUAUUAUGCUAGCAAUACAUACAUGCAGAAAACCCCACUUAAUUCAGAAUACAUAAAUAAUUCCUAUAAAUCAAUAUGAAAAAUAUAGGUAACACGAUUUUUUAAAUGUACCCAUUCUAGUUUUCUUAAAUAUGCUUUUGGGUAGUACUUCACUUGGAAGUAAGUGCUCAGGGAUUAAAGCAUUACAUGAAAAAUAUAAAGAUACUUCUCAUUUUUAUAAUUGAAAUUUUAGUCUCUUAUUCCCUCAUUCACAUAUUAUUUUAAAAUAAACAUAAUAACUAGCUUGUGAGAUAUCAAGUGUUUUCCAAUCAAGGCUCACUUUUUCAUUUUUAUUAUCUCUUUCAAAGAAAAAGACUUUAUUUUUUGAUGAAGUUCAAUUUAUCAAUAUGUUUUCUUCCAUGGAGAGGUUUUUGUUGUUUUUGUUUUUUGUUUUUAAGUAAUCUACCUCAAAAUGGUGGAGUUUAUCUAUAUAUUUUCAUGGCAUUUUAUAGCAGGAGGGAUAUAAUUAAAAAAUCUUCUCACAAUUUUUUAAUUAAUUUUUCAUUAUUUGAGUUCACUUUUUAUGUGGCAUUUAGAAAUUUUAGCAGAUGGCUUGUUCAGUGUUUCUGAUCUGCCAUGUCAUCUUAAGUGAGAGUCGGUUAACUGCCUUGGAUGUAAACACUGGUUUCACCACUUCUGAGAUGUAUUCACUUUAGCUUGUGGUUAAGCAGCUAUGUUUUUCCUAGUAAAAAAUAUAUCAUUACAUUAUAAUGUGGAGAAAAUGCAGUUGAAAUUUCCAACAGUUCCCCUAAACAUACAGAGCUCCUAAAGAUAUUUCUAAGCAAACAUCUAUAUGGGAAACUAUUUAGAGGUGAUUGUUGAUUCUAUCUCACCAAGGCAUUAGUCUGCUCUGUUGGAACACUAGAUGCAAAGCUCAAUAUAUUUCUUCUGUCUGCUAGGUCUUAAAAUAUCUCACUCUUCUAAAAAUCCAUUUUGAUCUUGUUUAGACUGUCACUCAAACGUUUGUUUCUUUCUUUCACUAGAACUCUGCUUUUCCCUAUCUGGCUAAGACACUCACAUGCCUGUAUGCUGGCCUAUGCCAGAUGCUUCUAUCUUAUUCAGGAUUUGUCCAUCUUAUAAAUCUUGAUCAUCUCUAUUUAACUUUACAGUGGGGAGGUUUCACUUUGUUCAUGACUUUCUACCGUCUUUUUUCCUCAAAAUUGAGACAUAAAGAGCUACCACCAAAGUAGUCUAGCACCCCAAACUUUGACAUUUCCACUUAAAAUCUGCUAAUGACCCGGGUGAUAAGUGCUUCAUUGUGCUCAUCAUGAACUUAUGUACUGAUUUCAAAGUCAACUCUGAUGUGCCUACAUGGAGUUCCCAAAUAUUCUUAACUACAUCUCUUCAAUAUCUUAUGAAUACAUCUCCCACUUCACUGAAUUUAUUCACCAUAUAAAUGAUAACUAUGGGUAAAAAGACAAGCAGUAAGGUUUAUGUGGUAUAUAAAAAUGAUUAAACAUUUUCACUGUCUUCAAGAGAGUUGAGGAAGUAUAAAAGAAAUGUGCAAAUUAUUAUAAUAAGAGAUUUAAAAAGAAGAAAUUGUCUUAGGAAAGACACAAAUAAAGUAAUAGGAAUAUUAAAGUGGUCCUAAAACUCCCAGAAAAUAAUAAAACAGGGGUGUAGAAGUGUGGAGACAUCAUUUGUGAAACUCAGCAAGUGGCACAAAGGGAGAUGAGGGUUUAAGAGACAGAUUAUCAGCAUGUAAACGGAUCUACAUCCUUCUUUCUCCCACACCUGGCCUGGCUCUUGAGCCAGUCUCCAAACUUCAACUUCCCCCAAAAGAUCCUUAAUAUUUAAAGCCUAGUAAUUACAGUCAUGCUAAAAAAAACUCUGAUCUCAAAUGGCUUGAUUAGCCUGUUUAAAUUUUAUGUAUAGUGCCAAGUGCAAACCUAUUCAGCAGGGUUCAUAAAUGCCAGCAAGAGCUUUCAUCAGUUUCCUACUACACUUAAUGCUAUAUGGCUUUCUUUCUCUGUGGUAGCUGAAAGUCAAACCCUCCUUCCUAUGAUAUUUUAACCUGCUUUAAAAUUCAAAUAGCUUCAUCAAGUUCAAUACCUAUCAAUUUGGCAUAUUCUUUGACAAUGUGGAAAGAAUUACACUGACACAGAUUUCUAGAGACUAAUUAAUGGACUAAGAUGCUAUUUUGACUUGG